rnacentral:lncRNA from 1 species
CCAAUUUCGAAGUAUAUUCACUUAUUGUCCCUUUAUUGAAGGCCCUGCAAUUUGUGAUUUAUUUGGUGAGGCAAGCCGCAUUUUAUUUUUUAAAAGGAUACCCUAAAGUGACCAUGUUUUUCUAUUUUAUUGUCCGUCUCUAAACUGAAAGAAAAAGUUCCUAGUUUAAAUACAUGCUUACGAGUUAUUAUCGCUAAGUUCCAAGCACGGUUUGUUAAUUCUGAAAAGAGACGCGAGAUGUGGGCUGUCCGUUAACAAUUAUGAGCCCAGGCCCAACGUGUAUGGCGUAAUCCGAACAUCGGCCAUCCUUAGUCCAAUACGGACCUAGUUAACUUAUUUUGCACAUGUUUAGCCUUUACAAUGGGAUUGAAAUGUACACUACUACUAUCUAAGUAAACAAGAUUCCUACCAGUUUUAAAACAGGCUAUUUAUUUAAUGAAGUAACUAUUGAGUAUCUAACAUGCUUUUUCACAAACAAUAAUGAACUAACAAACAUGGUUACUACAACAUCCGUUUAUUUUAACUAAGCAUACAUGAAAUAACUUGUUAACUAAGUUACAACACAAUGUUUAGUUAUACAUAACCAAGCACCUAUAUGAUUCUAGUAAAGGAAGCUAACUAACAACAGUACUACUAGUUUAUUUUAACUAAGCAUACAUGAAAGAACUUGUUAACUAAGUUACUACACAAUGUUCAGAUAUACAUAACCAAGCACCUACAUGAUUCUAGUAAAGGAACCUAACUAACAAUUGUACUACUAAGAUUUAGAAUACAACAUAAAAUAAAUUCCAGAUCUUCAACUCUUCAUUUUUGUAUUUCAUGCUUCAAAUUUCCAGAUUACAAAGUUUAGCCAUUUGAUUGUGUACCUGAUAUAGGAAGGCAAAAGAAGAGGAAGAUCAGCAGGACAACAGUAACACACAACUACAGAAGUACUCAACAACUUUCAGCAACAACUAGUAAAACCCAGGAAAGCCCAAUAAUAACCAGUGAUAGAAACCCAGGAAAACUCAAUGAAAGAGUGGUCAAUCACCCACAACAAACUCAGAAAUGCCAAAUAGUUAUCACAAAACAGAAGCAAGAAGAAACAACGACCAAUAGAACAAAAGUUUCUGAUUUUUCAAAUACUUAAAACAAGAAGCUGGGAGUUUCAAUUAAACAGUAGCAGGUUAGUACUGAUUUUCACUCACAGAAGAGACCUCACUUUCAGUUAUCUGAACUCUCAAGAUUAAAUGUCCGUUUGUAUUUCACUCUUCAACUCUCUGAAUUCCU